CCCUUAGAGUUUGAUCCUGGCUCAGAUUGAACGCUGGCGGCAGGCCUAACACAUGCAAGUCGAGCGGAUGACAGGAGCUUGCUCCUGAAUUCAGCGGCGGACGGGUGAGUAAUGCCUAGGAAUCUGCCUGGUAGUGGGGGACAACGUUUCGAAAGGAACGCUAAUACCGCAUACGUCCUACGGGAGAAAGCAGGGGACCUUCGGGCCUUGCGCUAUCAGAUGAGCCUAGGUCGGAUUAGCUAGUUGGUGAGGUAAUGGCUCACCAAGGCGACGAUCCGUAACUGGUCUGAGAGGAUGAUCAGUCACACUGGAACUGAGACACGGUCCAGACUCCUACGGGAGGCAGCAGUGGGGAAUAUUGGACAAUGGGCGAAAGCCUGAUCCAGCCAUGCCGCGUGUGUGAAGAAGGUCUUCGGAUUGUAAAGCACUUUAAGUUGGGAGGAAGGGUUGUAGAUUAAUACUCUGCAAUUUUGACGUUACCGACAGAAUAAGCACCGGCUAACUCUGUGUCAGCAGCCGCGGUAAUACAGAGGGUGCAAGCGUUAAUCGGAAUUACUGGGCGUAAAGCGCGCGUAGGUGGUUCGUUAAGUUGAAUGUGAAAUCCCCGGGCUCAACCUGGGAACUGCAUCCAAAACUGGCGAGCUAGAGUAUGGUAGAGGGG
rnacentral:rRNA from 1 species